AUGAUCUGGCUUUUAAAUGAGAAAAAUUAGAACUUCUCAAACUACACCAUUGGAUAAGGUUUCACAGCAAUAAAUACGAUUAUACAUUUAGCUUAAUAAAUGGAUAUCAACCAUACUCCGGAGAAGAACCAAAAGAAAGAGAAAACAAGACAAAAAAAGAAAAGGAACCAUUCUAAAAGUUACUGGGAUUGAAAUCUUAAGAGCAAAGCAGACUUCAAACCAGAAAACAUAAAAUGAGACAACGGACACAUCACAAGUUACUCACAGUGACAACUAUCUAUGAACUAAUUAACUCUGGCAAGUAUUCCUUUAAAACAAAAACCACACGAGAUCCAAGGACAGAAAUACAGCAGUAUUAGGAAACUUGGAAAUUACCAAUCUGUACAAAAUAGAUCCAGUGAACAAAGAAAUCAAAAUAAAUAAGUUAGAUCUUAGGUCUUUUGGAUAUAUACUGAAGAGAGAAAAUCGGUGCCCUUAAGAGAGAAAAUUUGCCUUCUCAAGAAAUGUUCUCUAAAUUCAAGGAAUGUUUUCAAAAAGCAAUCAUACUCUAGGGCACAAAGAAAACACCAGUAAGUUCUGUGAAAUACUACAAACAAAACUAACCACAAUACAUUAAAAGUAGAAACUAAAAGUCCCUCAAUUUGGAAAUCAAUAAAAAACCUACACAUUUGAUUAAAGG